rnacentral:lncRNA from 1 species
GAAAGGGUCGUCACCUGUUUUUGAUGAGCUGGUUUUCAUUGAGCCUGCUCCUUUGCCUUCCUGUUCUCCUCCGUCCAGGGCGGCUGCAGUCCAGCCAUCUCCUGCACCUGUAUCUAUUCCUCGGGUGAGGGGGGCUAGGGCCCAGUUUGUCCCUGUUCCAGUUUCCAGGCCAGCUGAGGCUCCGCUAGUCUCUGCGCCGGUACCUACUCCGCGGGUGGGAGCGGCUACUGCCCAGCAGGCCCCCACACCUGUUUCUGUCCUCGCGGGAGGCUCUGGUGAGCCCAUCCAGCAGUUUUCUUCGGGCUCCAUAGGCUCAGAAAACCUAGCUCGGCCAUCUGCUCCUCCACCACCUCACCCACCAUUACUACCAUCGUUACAACAGUCAAUAGAACUUAAACUUCUAUCCAUUGCUCAAACAUUAGCUCACCUCUCAGCUCAGUCGCCUGCUCAGUUGCCACCUGCCUCGCCUGGAGGGUCCGAGGGGCCCGUCCAGCCGCCUGUUCCCGCUGGAGGGUCCGAGGGAUCGCUUCAGCCGCCUGUUCCCGCUGGAGGGUCCGAGGGACUGCUUCAGCCGCCUGUUCCCGCUGGAGGGUCCGAGGGACUGCUUCAGCCGCCUGUUCCCGCUGGAGGGUCCGAGGGACUGCUUCAGCCGCCUGAUCCCGCUGGAGGGUCCGAGGGGCCCGUCCAGCCUCCUGCGUUGCCUGCAGCGCCACCACCAGCGGCUCUCACGCUGUCGCCUGUAGCGCCACCGCCUGCGGCUCCCACGCCGUCACCUGCAGCGCCACCCUCAUCUGGUCCAGCCUCCGUGUCUUCAGAUUCAGCUUCGCCUGGUCCAGCUUCAGACUCCUCAUCCUCGCCUGUAGCAGGCUUUGCUCCUGUUCGGCCUGCUCGUCCUGCACGUCCUGUCCGGCCUGCUCGUCCUGCACGUCCUGUCCGGCCUGCUCGUCCUGCACGUCCUGUCCGGCCUGCUCGUCCUGCACGUCCUGUCCGGCCAUCUUCCAGGCCGUUGGCUGGACAUCGUCGUUGUCGCCGCUGGCCUCCUUCCAGGCCUCUGAUUGGAUGUCCUCGUCCUGUCCGGCCACUUUUCAGGCCGAUGGCAGACUGUCAUCACCGUCAUGGACGGCCCCCUGAACUGCUUCGCCGCCGGUGCCUCCGCCCGGCCGGCCUCCUGACCUGCUCCGUCGCCGUAGGUGCCUUCCACCCGGUCGGCCUCCUGAACUGUUUUCUGGGCUCUUGGGCCGUC